rnacentral:rRNA from 1 species
CCUACGGGAGGCAGCAGUGGGGGAUAUUGCACAAUGGGGGAAACCCUGAUGCAGCAACGCCGCGUGAGUGAAGAAGUAUUUCGGUAUGUAAAGCUCUAUCAGUAGGGAAGAAGAAAGACGGUACCUGGCUAAGAAGCCCCGGCGAACUACGUGCCAGCAGCCGCGGUAAUACGUAGGGGGCAAGCGUUAUCCGGAUUUACUGGGUGUAAGGGGAGAGUAGACGGCUGUGCAAGUCUGAAGUGAAAGGCCGUGGCUCAACCGCGGAACGGCUUUGGAAACUGUAUAGCUUGAGUACUGGAGAGGUAGGCGGAAUUCCUAGUGUAGCGGUGAAAUGCGUAGAUAUUAGGAGGAACACCAGUGGCGAAGGCGGCUUGCUGGACAGAAACUGACGUUGAGGCUCGAAAGCGUGGGGAGCAAACAGGAUUAGAUACCCUUGUAGUC